rnacentral:Y_RNA from 1 species
GUUAGGCCCAAAGGUAGUGAGUUAUCUCAAUUGAUUGUUCAGUCAGUUAUAUAUUAAACUCCUUGUUCUACUUUUUCCCUGCUUCUCACUACUGCACACAGCUAGUCUUAA